UUUUUUUCUGUUCAAGCAGAUGGUUUGCAUUAAAAAUGAUACUGGCUAAGGGAAUUUCAGCCUUUGGGGAAAUUCCUCCAAAUGGAGUUUCAUGAGACGCCGCUGCCGUGUUGGGGAGCACACGGACGGUAACCGCGCGCAGCAAAGCUCCAGGAAAGAUGGUUUCUCUCCCGCGUCCUCCCUGGGGGACGCCACCAAGAGGCACCUUCACCCCCAGCCAGGCUCAGACAAAUCCCCGGGAACCUGUGCAUUUGGGGGUUUGCACAUGGAGCCACUCCCUGCAGCCGGAACGUUCCUCACACAUGCAGCUGAUUUCCCCCAUCACAGAAAACGCAGUGGAAGCAGGACACGGAAGGACCGGACAGAGAACAGAGGAAGAGGAACACUCCCUGAGCUCAGAUGCGUCCAUGACCGUCAUUCCCAACAAAUGCUCCUGGAUCCUUACCGUGGAGAGACCAAGUAUCCAAAGGAGACACGGCCACACCAGCUGUUCAAACAGCACUCUGACCCACGACUUGCAAGCGAGCUGUCCACACAGCCCAGCAGCCCUUGAAGCCAUCGGCCCCAGGCGUGCAGGACUUGGAUCAAUGCCUGCUAAGAUCCCCAACUGUCGCCCCUGUUUCCACCUAACAGCAACCCCAGAAAGCACACCGUGCUCCCCUGACCGAUCUCUAGGAUGCCCUGCUUCUUUCCCUGACAGCAGGCCCCGGCCAGGACAUACCUGCAUCUUCCUUUUAUCCGUGAGAAGUGGGACUACCCCUCUGCCUGGGAGCCUUUACCCAACACAGAUGAUGGUGGCCAACUCCUUCGUGAGCUUGGGUGGUCUCCAUCAUUCCCUCACCAUAUCUGUACCUCUUUCAUGAACUGCCCCUGGUCCCUAUUUUCAGCACCCGAUGUCUGUGCUCUCACAGCUCAGACCGAUGGCCCCUGCUAUCCCCUUGCUAGCAGCCCUGAGCCCAGUCCCCUCUUCUCCGUCCUAGAUGGCUGCCACCUGCCAUGCAUCCUGCAAAGCCC
rnacentral:lncRNA from 1 species